rnacentral:rRNA from 1 species
CGCGUAGGCGGCCUGCUAAGUCUGGAGUGAAAGUCCUGCUUUCAAGGUGGGAAUUGCUUUGGAUACUGGUGGGCUGGAGUGCAGGAGAGGAAAGCGGAAUUACCGGUGUAGCGGUGAAAUGCGUAGAGAUCGGUAGGAACACCAGUGGCGAAGGCGGCUUUCUGGACUGAAACUGACGCUGAGGCGCGAAAGCGUGGGGAGCAAAC